rnacentral:rRNA from 1 species
CGAGGGUGCAAGCGUUAUCCGGAUUUACUGGGUUUAAAGGGUGCGUAGGUGGGCAGGUAAGUCAGUGGUGAAAUCUCCGGGCUUAACCCGGAAACUGCCAUUGAUACUAUCUGUCUUGAAUAUCCUGGAGGUGAGCGGAAUAUGUCAUGUAGCGGUGAAAUGCUUAGAUAUGACAUAGAACACCAAUUGCGAAGGCAGCUCGCUACGGGAUUAUUGACACUGAGGCACGAAAGCGUGGGGAUCAAACAGGAUUAGAUACCCUGGUAGUCCACGCCCUAAACGAUGGAUACUCGACAUACGCGAUACACUGUGUGUGUCUGAGCGAAAGCAUUAAGUAUCCCACCUGGGAAGUACGAUCGCAAGAUUG